AAGUACUAGUCCAACCCUUUAACCUACAGCUUAAUUGCAGAAACCUUAUGAGCCCUCAAACUGAUAUAUAUUGUCGAAUCUUGAUAAGAAGAAGCAAAGGAGAGAAAAGGGGUUUUCCAGGAAUAAAAGAAAAUGAAAAUGAAUACCUUGAAAACGGCAUAAUUAGAAAACAACAUGCUCAGUUAGUAAGCAAUAAAGAAUAUUUAGUUUAAAUGACAGGAAGGAAGUCUAAUUCAUUAUGCACUCCUUUGUGCUAAUAGGAACCAUUUCAUAGUCGAGCAUACCAACAAUCAGAAACAGAAACUUAUAUAAUAUCCAAGGCAACACCAAUGUUCGUGAAGAGAAUUCAGAAUUAUGAACAGCCAAAAACAAAACUUGAAAAUAACCUACAUAAAAGCGUUCAAUGUUAUAUUUCAUAUUUACUCCAGGCUAAUGUUAUUUUCUCCACCAAUUUUAAAAACAUUGAGCAUGACUAACUAUCCACAGAAGCAAGUAAGAAAACGAAAUUCUAAAUUCCACAAAAGAAACCAACUACUGCAAAACUUGAAAGCAUCAGGAAUAACCAUUCUCUUGUCUUAUCAUAUGGUGCAAGAAUCCCCUCAUAAGCCUUCAAUUCACACCAGCGAAAGCUGCCACUCCAUGCUUAGUCUUUGCAAAGAAUCAUCCUGCAAUCAAAGCAAAUAUCAAUUACCAUAAGGACAGUCAAAAUGAAGCCCAGUUAUAUACUCCAUAUAUGCUGAAGCCAAACACAUUGCCUUUGCACCAUAAGAUUCAUAGACCUUGUCAGCUAUUAGUUUUCUCUCAAUCCAACAAUAAUAACCUCAAGCACACUCAUUCUACUCUCUUUCAAUUCGUCCCUACAUUUUACCUAUAACCAACUAUAACAAACACACAGAUCUCUAACAAGAAAAACCAAUAGCAAACUCUCAUUAUUAAACAUAAAGCCAAUUUGAUUAGGAAACUACUUUGGAGGAAGAUUGGCAGUAAGUUGCUCAAGUCAAGACUGGGAAACGGAUCUCUAGAUUCAAUUUUGUAACACAUGCAAGUUUACCAAGUCUACCACUCAUUUCACUACACAAAGACACCCUGAAAAUAUUGCAUUCGAUCAUUUCACAAGAAAAUAGAUUGAUAAUCUAAACAUCCAUCAGUAUUGCAAAUGAUAAGCUAGAAUUGGCAGAGAUUUACAGGUCCAUGAUAGAAAGUAAAGCAAUCCAGUAUAAUAGAACCAGAAAGCCUCACAUAGAAAAGAACAUAUAUGAUAUUAAAAUCAAUAAAAACCUGGGAGGAGUUUGUCCCAGCGAAGCGUGUCCUCUUCAUCACCAGUUGAGUACAAAUUAGUAAAAUUUGACUCGAACUCUUCAUCAUCCACAUCGUCUCGUGGUUGCACCUCCAAUUCAUCCAUCAAUUCAUCAUCGGUCUCCUCAUGCUUCCCAGCCAACUUUCUCCGCAAAAUGCCCUCAAGAACUGAAGGGAGUGCCUCUUCAUACCCUUCAAAGUACUUCUUGAUUCGGGUUUUCAGCUCUGGCACCAAAGAACUAACAAAGUUAAACAACAUAACAAAAAAACAAAUUAAAGACUUGUUCAAAAUCGGGCAAGGGUUAGGGAUUCUGAUUUGGGGAAGAGGGGAAAUGGGAAAUGGGGAAAUGGUUGUUAAAGACAUGUUCAGAGAGGGAGCUGGAAAGAGUCGAGUUUUCAGCGCUGGUUGAAAAAGACUGGGAGGGUAAAACAGGACAUAGAAAUUGGGAAGACGUCCGUAAUAGCUAAUCGUCGUUUUGGGAAGGGAAUACAAAAGCAGAGAUUUUGGGGAAUAGGCCGGUAAUGUAAUACGCCCGUAAUAGGCAUACAACGAACCAAACGUCAGAUUAGGUGAGGCGCGCGGAAUAGAUGGGUAAUCGCAUACCCAUUACAACGAACCAAACACGCUGUAAUUGAUUAGCAAUAAUAUUUUUAAAAUUUUGAAUAUUAUAGCUAGGACUUUUGAAAAUCAUAAAAUCAUUUGUUUUUUCGAUAGGUAAAAUCUUAAUAUUUAUACAAAGGAGGAAUUCAAUAAUGGAGUUGCCUUGCGUUAAUAGGAUAGAUAUGCUACAUGUCAAAAAAUUAGGCUGUUUUUGUCAGCUAGAAACCUAAUAUCUUGAAAUAUAUAAAACUAGUUUUUUUAACUGUAUCGCAUAGGUUUAUCGUAUAUAUUAAUUUACAUUUGAUUAUUUCUUAUUCUUUAAAAUUUUGUAAUGUUUCACUAAUAAUGUGAUUAUGAAAUUAAAAUAUAAUAAUAUAUAAAUUUAGUUUUAAUAUAUAUAAUUGAAUGUAAUUUAUUCAAUUAAGUAAUAUAUUAAAUUUCCUAAAUUAUAUAAAUUCAUUUUAAAUAUUCACUAUAUAUAUAUUGUAUUUGUAAAAGUGAUAUAUUUACUAAAAAUUUUAUAGGAUACUUGAAUAUAGUCUAAAAAUUUUGAAGUCAAAUUCAACUCAAAAUUAACGAUUCAUAAAAACUUGAAACUUUUGGUCUUUGUACCAUGGGAAGCUAAUACGGUAGAUCAACCAACAGUUUUCUUUGCCUUUCAUAUUGGACAUUGUUGAUGCAAAGUUUGGUUGGCGGUGGAGUCAAUCGAUUUAUCUCGUUUAGAACAAGACGGAGAGUUGAUAGUGAUGGUCGGAAUAUGAUGAAAAGUGAAUUCCCUCAUAAAAAGUUUGAGAGAGAAAUGAAGAAGACCAAGAAAAACAAAAGACAAAUAAGGAGGAGCCCACCUCAUUUGUCUCAUUUUUUUUAUUUAGGUCUUUGGUAAAUGAUAGCCUAAUAUAUUUAGGUUGUCAUAUGGUACAAGAAUAUGAUCAAUAGAACUUUUAAUAAGAUUGAUUCAUAAAUAUAAUAAAUUUUUGACAAAAAUUUAACUAAUAUCGAUUAUCUUAUCAGCAGUCUAAAUAUCUCUCAAGGGUAUUACUUUAAAAUUUUAAACUAGUAACGUGUUUUACAAUGUCAUCAUCAAUUAAAUACAUCCAAAAAUUUAAUUAUUCUAAAAUAUAAUUAAUACAACGCUUAGGAGUUGUAUACAUUUUACCCAUUUAGUUGUGUAAAAAUAUUCACAAUAUAAUAGUUUUAUUUAAUUUUCAUCUUUAAUUGUUUAAUCUCAUUUGAAAAAAGUAAUAUGUCAUGUAAUAGGCUAAUUUUGGCCUGGCUAAAAUACCAUUUAUGUAGCCCAAAUAAUUCGGCCCAAUAAGGCCUAAAUUGCUAACCCUAAUCUGCUAGCUCAAAAAACACAAAAGGUAUAGUAGAAACUCUAGUAGCCGCCGCAGCAAUCUCACCCUCACACGCUGCCGCAAAUGUCGCGCAUGCACUCCUCCAAGCAUGUACCUGCAAAAGGAAACAAGCAGUAUAGGCAAGAAAAUCAGAAAAUUGCAAAUCAAGCAGAUAAUAGAAUGAUUUUUUUUCCUUUAUUUUCUUGUUUCAUUAUGGCUAUAAAAAGCCAAUUAAAGUCUGUAAAAUGGGGGAUUCAGUGUAAAGAAAUACAAAAAUAGAGAGAAAAAUACUGAGAAUACAAAAGAAAUUUUUCGAAGGUGAAUCGCGUCUUUUUAUUAUUAUUUUUUAUUCAUUUUUUAUUAUUUUAUUUUGUAACAAGAAUAACAUGGGAGAAAGGAGACUUACUCGGUCUUAUCGCGUUCUGCUCCAUUUUCCGUCACGAUCGGAGGCUAGGACGGCGAUUAAAGCCAUGGGGAGUUCUUGAAAACGGCGGCGCGGAAGGGUUGAUAAAAUCCUAAGGAAGCAGUUUCUGCUUCAGGGAAAGGGCAAAAUAUUUUCCCUAAAUUUUUCUUUUUUUAAAAAAAAACUUAAAACAGAAGCGAAACAGCGCCGUUUUGAAGGGGCCAGAUCCGCGCGCCGACCCGACCUGCAAGCAGGGUCCACGAGUUUUGGCCCUAAAUGGGGAAUUUGCGCGUUUGGUCCCCCGUUUUUUCUAUUUGAUUUUAAUGCAGUUAUUUCAUGUACUUUCAAAUUUAGCCAUUUUUUUUGUUUUAAUUUGGUCCAUAGACCAUGUGCAUGCGCCCACUGGAACGGUGCCGUUUGACUAGCGUGGGAAUAUUUCCCUUUUGGUCCUCAUCCUUUCUCGCUCAUUGUGAUUUAGUUUUUUUAUUUUUAAUUUUGGCCCUAAAAUUUUGUUUAGUUUUGAUUUAGUCCCUAUUUGUUAUUAAGUUAUUAUUAUUAUUAUUAUUAUUACUAUAUAUACAUACGCAUAUUUUUUUACAAUAAUAUAUAUACAUACAUUUGUUUAAAAAAAACUUUUAUAAACACAAAUGCACAUAUUAUAUAUAUAUUUUAUUAUUAUUCUAUUUGCAUAACUUUUAUAUACCUAUAUAUACAUUUACGUUUUAUAUACAUAUACAUAUACAUAUUUUUAUUUUUAUUUUAUUUCCUAACUUUUAUAUACAUAUAUAUACACUUUUAUAUUCAGGUUUCAAUUUUUUUUUACUUUGAUAAAUAUGUAUAUACGUAUGUUUUCUUAUAUUAUUCUUCAUAAUUUUUUUAUAUAUAUUUUUUAAAUGAAUUAAUUUCAAUAUAUGUAAUUAUUAUUAUUUGUUUAUAUAUAUAUAUGUAAUCAUCUUUUUAUAAUCUAUAUAUAUGUGUAUAAUUAUUAUUUUUUAUAUAUGUACAUGUAUAUAUUUAUAUAUUUUUUUCUAAUGAAUAUUUUUUACAUUUAUAUAUAUACAUAUAUAUAUCUAUGUUUUUUUAUUUAUUUUCGAAAAUGCUUAAAUACAUACUUAUAUUUUUAACGCAUAUUUUAUAAUUUAUAUAUAUUUUUAUAUAUUUUUCUUUAUUGUAUUAUUUAUUUUGUUUGUAUAAAUUUUAUAAUCCAAAAUUUUAUAUGUAAAUCAUAUGUAUGUCUUUUAUUCUUCAUAAUUUCAAUGUACAUUAUAUACCUUCUUUUCUUUAUUUAUCUUGCUUGCUUUCUUCAUUCGCUAUUUAAUUGUGCUUACAUUUAUUUUUUUUAUUCAUUGGAUAUUUUGCAUGUCAUAGAUUAUUAUUAUUUAUAUAUGUUCAUUUCGUUUAUUUAUUUGUUUAUAUUAUUUCUAUGUCAUUGUCGUAUUUGUCAUUGUGACAUUUAUACAUACAAUAUAACAUUACAUCAUCUUUUUACUCGGGUUUAAAAAUAGAAUUUUUCAAAAUAGAGAUAAUACUCGUAUUUAGGAUUUUCAAGAAAAUUGAGCCCUAACGUAUUGGGUUCCGAUUUUCUUCGUUAAAUCUAACAAUCGAGAAUUGCUCUUCGAUUAAAAAUACUCAUAAAAAACGCAUUGGACGUGACAUAUUGAUUUCUCGAGACAAAGAUUUUUUUAAAGAUAUAUAUAUUAAUAAAGGAAAUAUUCAAUGUUUGGGAUGUUGAGAAAUUGUGCCCUAACGUAUUGGGCUGCGUUUUCGUCAUAAAUCUUAAACAAUUGAAUAUUCUUUUAAAUUUUAUCACACAAAUCUUUUGGACAAACUCAUCUUGAAGAAAUAAAAUAUUGUGCCCUAACGUAUUGGGUGUGAUGUUUUCUGUUUCAAAAUGAGGGAGUCCUAAUAAAUAAUUUAAUUUAAUUAAGGAUCAUAUUUUUAACUCUCGACGUUAAGACAUUAAUUCAUCAAUUUGGUACAAAUUUUUGGGCGUUACGAGGGUGCUCAUCAUUCCUUGAACGUAACUGACUCCCGAACCCGUUUUUCUAAAAAAUUGUAGACCAAAGUCGUUUUAGGUGAUCCAAUCACACCUUAAUAAAAGAUUGGUGGCGACUCUAAAUUUUCAUCGACAACUAUUUUUUGUUUUUAAAAAAACUAAAGAUGGUUUCGACAUGUCAAAUUUGUUAAGUAUAAACGAAUAAGUUAAAAAAAUUGAAGUGUUUAACUUUAGUUUUUUUUUGUAUGAAAAUAAGAUUUAAAUGUUGAAGAAAGCAUAGUUAAUUAUAGUUGUGCUUUAUAGACCUAAUGCCAUUUUUAACAUAAACAGCAGUACAACAAGAGCCAAAACAGUUUUUCUCGGAUGAUGCAGCCCCUUGGCCGCCGUAUUGAUCCUCGUCCUGGGUGGAGCUUGUUGCUCAACGGUACCGUUUUGUUUCAUUGCGGUAUCAUCAUCACCUGUAGGUUGUUCCAUUUCCAUGGGAUUUGGACAUGUUUUUGCGAUGAUUUAAAAUAUUAAAUAUUCAUCACGUUUUGUUUCAUAUGAAUUAGAAUUUAUUAAAUUUGUUGAUAUAUUUUAAAAAUAAUAAAAUUAGUUUAUCAAAUUUUUUAAUAAAAAAACAUAUUGUAAUUAUAAGAAUAUCCAUUAUGUUUUGUUAAAUAUUUUUAUUAACUAUUAAUUCUAUCUGCUUAAAAAACAUAUAUAGUUUUGAAUAUUAUAAUAAUUUUAUAUUUAUGUAUUACGUUUUUAACUUACUUAUAAUUAUAUUAUAAAUAGUAUUUAAUUAAGGUAAAAGUUAUAGUUUGUUUAUAAUAAAUUUAAAUUAAUAAAACAUAUUUAAUUAAGUAGUAUUUUGUAUUAAAUUGUAUGCUUUCACAUUCCUAAUAAGUAAUAUUUUACUUACAAUAACUUUAAUUUAUUGAAAUUAAAAAUUAAAAAUUAAAAUAUUUAUUAUAGUAGUUCUAUUUUUUUUCAACGGUGGUUUUAUUGUUAUUUAUUUAAAAUGGUUAAAAAAGUUAUAAUUCUAUGAGAUAAAUUAUAUCAUUCACAUCCUACAUAUAUUUUUUAAAAUUUAUAAAUUUCUAACUUUAUAUUCUGUAUUUUAAAUAUAUAUAUUUGAAGCUUAUCUUGUGUAUUAUAUUUAAUUUUUGAAAUAAAACAAAAAAAUGUUAUAUUUAAUUUAUUUGUGUGAUAUUCUCAACCUCCUAAUUUUAAAUUUGAAUAUUUUAAAUCUACAAUGAUAGUAUAAUGAUAAAAUGGUGAUAUAAAAUAUAAUUAAAAAAUAAUGUAUUAUAAAGUUAGUAUAUAAAGAAUUGAUAAAAUUUUAAUACAUGCGCGUAUCGACAAAAUAGAAAAUACACUAAAAGCCCCAAAUUGCUUCUAAAUAAAAAAUAAAUAACUCUAAAACUCAAAUCAAAUCCCUAAAUUCUCUUUCUAAUUUCAAUGAAAUGAAAAACCGAAAUGUAACAACCCAAUUUUAAUCGGUGUUGAAAAAAUGCGGUUUCGAAAUUUUAUUUUUGUAAAUUAUGUCCGUAAAAUUGAAAUAGGAGGAAUUUAAGGAGUUGGUAUAAAAAUAUAUUAAAGAUCAGUUAAGUAAUUUAACCGAGAAAAUCAUUAAUUAAGUACAAGAACUAAAUUGUAAAAGUCCAAUCACUAUUAAAUUUUAAUUUAAAAAAUGUUUGAUGACCCAAAGGACCUAAAUGGUUAUUAAACCAUUGUUUUCACAUGUUAGUGGAUGAUUAUGAUAAUCUGCACUUAGCUUACAUGGUAUAAUUAUAAUUUAAAUUAAAGUUUUAAAUUAGUAAAAUUAAGUGGGGUUAAUUAAGUUAAUUAGGAUGUUAAUCAAGUAUACAUAAUAUAAGUUAGUGGAGAGUUAAAAUACAUCAUCUUAUUCCCUCAUUUGUGCCGUCCAACUAAGUGAAAGAAGAGAAGGAUUCAAGCUUCUAGUUUCAUUCGUCCAUUGAAUUUCUUAAGGUAAUCAAGCUAUUUUCUUAAAAAUUUUAUAGAUUUUUAAUUAUGGGAGUUUGAUUUAACUAACUCAUGUGUUAACUUUUUCAAUUAUUCGAUGUUAAGCAAGUUACCAUUAAAGUGUAACGGAUGAAUUUAAGCUUGGAUUUGAAGAGAUUGCUAGUUAGUAAGCUUGGAUUAUGCCAAGGAUUAAGUUAGAAACUAAGCUAAGAUUUAUAGAUAAUUUUGUGAUGUUAGGGGUCAAAUUGAAUAAAUUAAAAAUUGUUAAGAAAUUACGCUAUAGAUUAAAGGUACAAGGUUUCUAAUGAAAGGAUAUAAAAUCAGAUUUUGAUUCGAUGUUAAAUAUUGAAAAAUAUUAGUAUUUCUGAUAUAAAGACUAAAAUGAAUAAAAUACAAAAUAUGUUUGAUUUUAUGUUUUCAUGUGAAUGAGUAAAAACUAAUGUUAUUUUUAUAAUUGAAUUAUCGAACGUAGCUAAAGACGAUUUUGGGUCAUCCCGAGUGAAUGAAAAAACAAGUCAUAGACAAGUAACAAAUACGGAUUGUACUUUCAUGGGUUGAAUUCAAUAUAUAUACACAUAAAUGACUUGUUACAAACUAGUUUAUGUGAGGUAAGCAUCCUAUUUGUCUCAUGAUUCGAUUUGUAUGUGAUGAUUUAAAAUACUGUGAACUGAAUUAAGAUGAGCAUGGUACAAAUGAGUAUUAUGCGAAAUUGUGAUAUGUGAUCAUGAGUAUACAUAUGUUUGGAACAUUGUUUACCCUAUUAACUGUUUUGAGCAGAGUCAGGUAUAGUUGACAUGCCAUAAGAUUAAUGUACGAGAUUUGCUUCAGUUUAUAUUGAUGAGGCAUGGAGCGCAUAUUAUACUUUGGACAUUCCAAUGAGGUUUAUACCGUUGAGGCGCGGAGCCCAAAUUAUAUUCAAGACGUUUCGUUGAGGCACUAAGUGCCAGAUAUAUCGGUGUGAUGGUUGGAUGAUCUGUGUAUUUGUCUUGAGUUCGUGUCCAAUUAAUAGGAAUUAUGAAACCUAUACCAUGCUAUGUGACAUGUGAAAUGAGAUGUUGAUAUUGUAUAAGGUAUCAUGUAUGUUAAUGUUGAUAUUGUAUAAGGUACCAUGGAAGACCUGAUAAGUGAUUCUAUGACUCGUGCAUUUUUAUAGAUGAGGACCCAACAACCUAUGAUGAAGCUAUAAAAUCAAUAUAUGCUAGUUUUCAGAUAGAUGUCAUUAAUGAAGAGCUAGAGUCUAUUAUAUCCAAUCACACUUGGGAACUAGUAGACUUGCCUAGAGGUUUUAGACCUAUUAGAAACAAAUGGGUCUUUAGAAAGAAACUUAGACCAGAUGGGUCAAUAAAUAUAGAGGUAUAAGGCAAGACUAGUUGUAAAAUGGUUCACUUAGAAAUUUGGAGUAGAUUAAUUUGAUACCUACUCUCCUAUGACUAAGAUCUCUACCAUUCGUGUUUUGUUUUCUUUAACUUCCUGUAACACCCCUUAACUUGUAUCUAUCUCCAGAAUGGGGUUACAGAGUAUUACCGUAAUAACAUAACAUAAAACAUACAUUGCACACAUUAAUAAAAUCAUGAAUUUAAAUCAUUUAUUCACAUGUUUAUCGUCUCUUAAUCGAGCCAUUGAGGCCCUAAAAACACUUUAGAAAUAAAUCGGGACUAAAUUGGAAACAUUUGGAAAGUUUAUGAAAAAUUUAGAAAAUUUGGACUGCAGGUGCCACACGGCUGAGACACACGUCCGUGUCUUAGGCAGUGUAACAAUCGAAAUAAGGACACACAGUCAUGUCCUAGCUUGUGUUCGUGUAACUUUCGAAGUUGGGUCACACGGCCAAGCGACAUGCCCGUGUCCUAGGCCGUGUAAUAGCUAGACUUGCAAACCUUGAAACCUACAAGGGACACAUGGCUGUGUUGCGUGGCCAUGUGUCACACAAGGCUGAGUCACAUGCCCAUGUCUCAGGUCAUGUGGACAUGAAAUUUCCCAAAAAUAAGCCAAUUCCUUCAUCAAAUCAUGCACUCACUUAAUGACCUUUUGUGCAUAUAACUAAGGUAUCAAAACAUGAUCAAAACCAACAUAAAUUGACCAAUUCAAUCGUUCAUAACCAUUCAACCAAUAUGCCAUACAAGGCACCUUAAUUGCAACGUUCAAACUUACCUAAACAUAUGUAUAUACUUGACCACAACUCAUUUAUAAACAUCUAGUUCAAUACCAUUUUCAAAACAUACCAUAGCUUGACCAUAUUGAGGUCAAUUCAUCACAAACCACUUUGGCCAUUCAAACAUGCAUUAACACAUUGCCAAAAUAACACAUAUUAGAAUGGCAUCUAUAAGUACCAAAAUGACACUAACCAACCAACAUCAAAUGGUACCAAAACAAGUUAUACAUGCCAAUAUCAUCAACUAGAUUUCAAUUAGAUACCAACCCAAGUCCACCUAUACAUGCCAUUAUAACCUUGACCAACACAUCAAAACUACUGAUAUAAUUUUUGGAUAGUGUGAUAGAUCUUCGAAGAGCUUUCGAUAAUCUAUAAAGUAAAAGAAAGUAAUUACGUAAGCAAUGAAUGCUUAGUAGGCUCAUAUAAACUUUAAUCAUACAUUCCAUUUCAAUAAUAAACUUUAUAGGGUAAAUAUAAACCUAUACCAAUUGCCAAAAGAUUUAUCAGACUAUAUAACCAUCAACUCACAAAUGAGUAAUUCCAUCAACAUCACAUAUAUUUUUCAUUCCUAACAUAAUAGGAUUUUAUAAGACAUAUUACACAAUCAUUAACCUUUUCAUAAGACUAUAAACCACUUCAUUUACUUACUUGCUAUUCUAUUUACUUUCUUUCAUUUCAUUUACUUGGCAUAAGCUUAAAUAACAUGAUCAAUUCAUGAAUUUGUGUAUUUAUCCAUGUCAUAGGUAAAUUCAUCCAUAGCAUAAGUAAAUUUCUCACAUAUAAGUACAUCAUUUAACUCAUCAAUCCUUUUAUAUCAUCAUAUUACAUUUCAAUUAUGAACUUACUGUUUCAUUACCUUUUCUUACCCAUUUCAUUUGCAUAAUAUAAGACAUAAGCAUACACAUCAACCAUAAGCUUGGCACAAGCCUAAGCACCAUCAACAACACAUAGUAGUGCAUCAACUCAUAAUUCACUUGAAUUAACAUAAAGUAAGUCAUUAUACAUGAACAACUUCAUUUGAAAUAAUCAUUUACAUGAACAUAGCUAUACUUUCACUGAACAUUUCCUUUUCAAUCCUUUUCAUAGAUUCAUGACAUAAGUCAUUUGGACACUUAUCAUUUAUUUCUUUUUCAUGCUCGUUGAACCAUUUAGAAUAACAUCAGAUACGCGAGAUCACACAAAGUGUGCUAAACAUAUAGUUGUAACCUUUCCUUUUCCUUUACAUCAUUGCUCACUCGAGCUGUGAAAUGGGUCUGCUCACACAACUGACGGUCAGAAUGUAAGCUACGCGAUGCUGCUCACACAAGCUGUUGAGUAUCCACAAUAAAUGCAGGACCUUAGCCAUCGGUAGGACAUUCAAGACCAACACCCAAAACAUGGUAACCCUAAAGACAUGUCAUUUGUAUCCUACGUAUUCCUAAGGUUCAAACGGGGCUCGAUAAUCAUCGAACAUCGUUGAACUUCCAUCAUUUAAUUACAUGAAAAAUAGCACAUGAAUAUAUAGAUCAAUAUAACAUUAAAACAUCAUUUAAGCAUACGAACUUACCUGGCUAAAUUGCAGCAAUGACUAAGUACAAAGGCUAUUUGGUAACUUUCUCUUCUCCUCAGUUUUCCACUUGUUCUUGAUCUAAAUUAAAAUUUUCAUUCAAUUCAUUAAUUUAGACAGAAAAACCAAUUCAUUUUAUGCAAUUUAUUCGUUUUUGAAAUUUUUACAAAAAUUUCCUCGAACAUUUUACUUUUAUUCAAUUUAGUCCUUGAGCCUAAAACAGGCAAAUUAACCAUUUUUACUCAAAUUUAAGCUCAAUCGAAUUUAUUGGGACCUUACUACAACUUAUAUUUGUUGUUAUUACACAUUAAAUCCUUGUACUUUUACUAUUUCAAUAAUUUAAUCCCUAAUCAUUAAAUUCAUCAAAAAUCACUUAACAAAAUACUUCAAAUUCAUCAUUUAACAUCUAAAAUCACAAAGAUUCAUCAAUGAAAACAUUCAAAAUCUUUAAAAGUCUCAAAAAUGAAGGUACGGGCUAGCUAGACCUAGUUGCAACGAUUUAACAAACAUAAAAUUAUUAGAAACGGGGCAAAAAGACCAUAUUAUGCAUGAAAUUUCACCAAGGCUGAAAACUUCCUUCCCAAUUCCAUGGUGUUUUCGGUUGUGUUUGAGAAAACUAAAAAGAUGAUAGCAUUUAGGCCAUUUUGUUUCUUUUAAUUACUUUAAUUAUGAAAUUACAAUUUUGUCCAUUUAAUAAUCAACCAAAUUUCAAGCUUUUAAUUACCCAAAACCGUCCACCAACAAUUCAAUUGGUAUAAUUACAAACUAAGUCCAACAAUUCACCUUUUCAUAGCUACUAGACACCUUUAAUUAAUAGAACUCAACUUUUGCACCUUUUUCAAUUUAGUCAUUUUCACCUAAUUAACCCUUUAAACAUCAAUUUUUUUAACGAAACUUUAAUACGGCCUUAAUAACACUCCAUAAAUAUUUAUAAAAAUAUUUACAGCUCGAUUUAUAGAAAUGAGGUCCUGAUACCUCAUUUUCUAAAACCACUAGACUGUAGGGUCAUACCACUUGAACCUAAUUAUUCUUCCAUUUAACACAAAUCAUUAAAUCAAAAUUUAUCAUUAUACUAUAUAUUAUUUGUAAAUAUUAAAUAAUAAUAUUUUCAUACUCACAGAUCAGAUUUGUGGCCCUGAAACCACUGUUCUGACACUUUAGAGAAAUGAGCUGUUACACUUUCAUUCACAAUUUACUAGUAUACCAGAUGGAUGUGAAGAUAACUUCCUCAAAUGGUGAUUUAGGCAAGGAGAUCUACAUGGAGCAACAUCCAAGAUUUGGGCACCUAGUAUGGAAGGUAAAGUUUGUAGACUCAAAAAAUCUUUAUAUGGUCUUAAACAAGCUCGAAAAAAAUGGUAUGAACAAUUUCAUAAAACUAUUCUGAGUUUUGGUUUUAUUGUCAAUGGUGUAGAUUGAUCGGCUAAAAACGUCACAGUAAUAAUGUGCAAGCGUACACUAUCGAUGCAAGUAUAGUAGACAGAUGUGAGUCUAUCAGAUAUCGAUCCUACAGGGAUGGUUGUCUUUUGUCUAUUAAUGUUGGUGCAAUAGCAAGCUAGAAACGAGAUAAAUUGUAACGAUAGUUGUCGGAGCAAUAUCUUGAAAACAAUCAAAUAAAAUAUGAUGAUGAUAAACUAGGAUCGCUAACAUGAAUCUUCAGCAGAAUACUAAAUGUUCACAAGGUAUAAAAGGAUAGGUGAUUAUCGAUACAAUAAAUUUCAAUGUAUAUCUUACCAAGUGUCACUCCUCUAAUUAGUCUGAGACUUAAAAAUGCACACUAACCCCACCUUCCGAUGGUGGCAAUAUGACACUAUUAAGAACAAGUAGACUAAAUUCCUCUAAUCCUCACUCAACUUCUGUUGUAAUGCUUGUUAGCUCGAACUGUCACUGCACCUUCCGGUGUCGAUGACUGCAAUAACACUUUCGUGCUAAAAAUAUUCAAACCCACAGAUUAAAUAGUUGAAACAAAAUUGUAUAAAAUAACAUUUAACCCAGAAAUCAUGUGUACUUCCAUACAAACAUGAAAUAAAGAGUACUCACCAGUGUUUAGAAAGAAAUGUAGAAGAAACAAGUGGAGAAUACUAUUCCUAGAAGAACUCGACUUAAAUCUCUCGAUUCCCUCUUGUGUCACACUUAGGACUCCUUGCCAGGAGUUGGUCUGCAUCAUUUUCACGUUGGCUCACCUAGGGGAGACUUAAGCCGCCAUGGCCGCAAGCUUCCCCCCAAGAUAGGUUAAGGAAGAUGAUGAUCAAGAAAAAACUCUCAUCUUUUUUUCUUUUCACGUCAAUAUUUAUACCCUUCCAAAUAGCACAGGUGUCCUUUCCUCAGAAUCAUGUUGUCCUUGUAAGUACAGGUUGGUUAUACCAAACUUGACAGCUCACGCAUUUUUGUUCUUAUCCAGACAGCUGUCAAAUGAGGCGACAACUCUGGACGCAAUCUGGAAUUACUAAUGCAGCGACAUUAGUACCAAAAUAUGACAAAAUUAAGGAUAAAAUAGGCUAGGAUCCAUUGAGUUAUAAAAUGCAAUUUACUAAACUGAAAAUGCUAAAAUAUGUGCUAAGGAUAACUAAAUGGGAACAAAUUAUCCAAUAAGUAGGGAGAAAACUUAUGUUCUUUCUCGUACUAUCACAUCCUCAAACUUGAGUUUUUACUUGUCUUUAAGUAAAUCAGAAACUAGCAAGGCUACAAAAAUUCACUAAGGCAAAUGAGCAUUCUAGCAACUAGAAUCACCUAAAAUCCCAAUGAAUGAAUAACAUUUAGAUGAAAUAAUAUUUUGCCUCGAAAAUACAUAAGCAUGAAUGAAUAAGUUUGCAACUUCAUCAAAGCCAGCAUCAUGCUUCAAAUCCUUAAUUUUAUCUACCUAUACAGCAUUUAUUGUACAAUACUAAGUAUUUAUAUCUCUUUUUUUUUUGAAUAAGGGAUACCGUUGCAUUACUGUACCCUUGUUCCUGAUAAGUAAUGAUGGAGUGCAACAAACCCCCAGAGAGCAUGUAAUUGCACCGACACACACUCAUGCAGCGGCAGCCUUUGGCCAGAUUCAUUUUUCUAACACUUGUAUAGGAGUGUUCCCUCUUUAACAUUCCACAAUGCACCCACUUUGGAGUGUCUCUUAUUUAUAAAUAUAUAUAUGUAAACAACUAUAAAAGGAAAAUUCAUUCAAGAUUCAAUGAAUGCUACUAGUCAUUCAUUACUAAUGCAACCUAAUUCAUUCAUCAAAGAAUUGAAGCUACAGCAUUCAGUCAAAUUUAUCCAACUUAUUCUCUGAUAAUUCACAUGAUCCAAGAAUUAAUCAUCUAAUGUAACAAAAAUUUUCAAACACAUUUGCAUUAACCAUAAUUAAACCUUGCAUGAUUCUUUACUGAAAAAAUAUUUUAAAAUAUGGGUGCAUUUCCAAACCCCAUAUGCAUUCCCCCAAACUUAAAGUGUGCAUUAUUCCCAAUGCACUAACUUGAAAAUGCAAUGACAAUAAAAAUACAAUGACAGUGUGUAGUUAACAAAAUAAAACUUACAGAUUCAUGAAAUGCAUGAAUACUAUAGCUAAAACUUAAAAUAAACUAACUCAGUUGUCCUCAACCGUCGAUUUGGUUGCACGAUGUUUCUUCCUUCUCAUUUUCUUCUCCUCCUUCUUUCGUUUUUUAUCCUUAGAGCAUAUUCUCUUCUUUUCUUUAAGCUCUGCACAGUUCUCAGAUUGCUCCUCAGUUUUUGGCUCUACCCCGGCAUCAUCAGCUACUUCCUGUGUAGGAGGGGUCACCUGGAGUGGUUUGGUCUACACCACAAUCGCCAAUGAGUUAUGGUGCUCCUCACUGGUUACCUCAGUAGCUUCUGCCGGUCUCGCUCUAUCUUGCUCCAAAUUAUCAAUAUUUGCACCUACAGACUCGGGUGCAGUGAAAAUGUUCACAACAGAGGCGUGAUGUCUUGUAUAGAGAUAUAAAGUUGGCAGGAAUAAUUGUGUCCAAUAGGAAUUGUGCCCGUUCAGAAGGAUCAAACGACUGGGUGAUUUUUGAUCCAACAGUGGAAUGUGAGUUGCCCUGAAUUCUAAUGAGUUAUAAAUUGUAGUACGAAAUUCAUUGACAAUAAAAACUUCAAUGCGUCGAAAAUGAUACCUAAUUAUUUUGCAAAAAGGAAGGAAAACAAACUUUAACAAAACAUAAAUAAAAUAAAAUAAAAUCACGGAGUAAUAAUUAAAAAUUAAAAUUUGUUCUCGAAGUCUCCACCGAACAGUUUUUUCAAUUUCUGGAUCAACAUCGACAAGAAAAAUCGAAUUGCUUCGGGUCAUAAAACACCUAAAAUGAAGUUGAAGAAAUAGCAACAAAGAAAAAACAAGUAAGUGACAACUAAAUAUUAUAUAAGAAAGACAAAGUGUAAAAACACACAAGAACAAAAAUAAACAUCAAACAAAUGCCAUCCCUGGCAAUGGCGCCAAAAACUUGAUCAGCUGAUAACAUCAUAGCAAUAGCACCAAAAACAAUGGUAUGAACAAUUUCAUAAAACUAUUCUAAGUUUUGGUUUUAUUGUCAAUGGUGUAGAUUGAUCGGCUGAUAGUGUCACAGUUAUAAUGUGCAAGCGUACACUAUCGAUGCAAGUAUAGUAGACAGAUGUGAGUCUAUCAGAUAUCGAUCCCAUAGGGAUGGUUGUCUUUUGUCUAUUAAUGUCGGUGCAAUAGCUAGCUAGAAACGAGAUAAAUUGUGAGGAUAGUUGUCGGAGCAAUAUCUUGAAAACAAUGAAAUAAAAUAUGAUGAUGAUAAAUUGGGAUCCUCAACACAAAUCUUCAGCAGAAUACUAAUUGUUCACAAGGUAUAAAAGGAUAGGUGAUUGUCGAUGCAAUAAAUUUCAAUGUAUAUCUUACCAAGCACCACUCCUCUAAUUAAUCUGAGACUUAAAAAUGCACACUAACCCCACCUUCCGAUGGUGGCAAUAUGACACUAUUAAGAACAAGUGACUAAAUUCCUCUAAUCCUUAUUCAACUUCUGUUGUAAUGCUUGUUAGCUCGAACUGUCACUGCACCUUCCAAUGUUAGUGAUUGCAAUAACACUUCCGUGAUAAAAACAUUUAAACCCACAGAUUAAACAAUAGAAACAAGAUUGAAUAAAAUAACAUUUAACCCAAAAAUCAUGUGUACUUCUAUACAAACAUGAAAUAGAGAGUAAUCACCAGCAUUUAGAAGAAAUGUAGAAGAAACAAGUGGAGAAUACUAUUCUUAGAGGAACUCGACUGAGUUAUAAAAUACAAUUUACUAAACUGAAAAUGCUAAAAUAUGUGCUAAGGAUAACUAAAUGGGAACAAAUUAACCAAUAAGUAGGGAGAAAACAUAUGUUCUUUCUAGUACUAUCAUAGAUGCAUGUGUGUAUUCUAAGAUGUUUCGUACUGAUUGUGCCAUCAUAAGUUUUCUUGUGGAUGACAUGUUAAUUUUCAGCACUAAUAUAGAAGUAGAUGUAAUAUUAGGGGUUAAGGUUACUAAAUCAGAAAAAGGGAUUUAUUUUAAAUCAAUCUCACUAUAUAGAGAAAGUGUUGAAGAAGUUUAGUAGAUUUGAUGUAACCCCUGUGAAAACUCCUCUUGACUCUAGCAUACAACUGAUAAAGAAUAAAGGAAAUAGUGUUUCUCAAUCAGAAUAUGAAAAAAUUAUUGGAAGCCUUAUGUUCUUGAUGAACUACACUCAGCAUGAUAUUGCUUAUGCAGUCAAUAGACUAAGUAGAUAUACCAACAAUCCUAACAAUAAGCAUUGUAGUGCUCUAAGACGUUUCCUUAAAUACCUUAAAGGUACUAUAACUUGAAAGUUGGAAUUUUUUGGAUACCUUGUUGUCCUAUAGGGAUAUUAUGAUGCAAAUUGGGUAAUUGCGAAUAAUGAAGUUAGCUCUACAAGUGGGUAUGUCUUUACUUUGGGUGGAGCAACUAUUUCUUAUAAGUCUGCUAAACAGACAUACAUUGCUUGUUGCAUGAUGAAAUCAAAGUUUAUAAUUCUAAACUUAGCUAGGCAAUAAGCGAGUGGCUUAGGAAUCUAUUUGCAGAGAUUCCUUUAUGGGAAAAAUUGACACCUCUCAUAUCUCUAUUAUAUGACUCACAAGUUGUAAUUUGUGUUGCAAAGAGUCAAGCUUAUAAUGGUAAGAAGAGACAUAUUCGAAUAAGGCAUGAAUUUGUGAGACAUUUAAUAAAGAAUAGAGUACUUUCUUUAGAGUACGUGAGGUCUGAAAAGAACCUAGUUGAUCCUAACCAAAGGUUUAAGUAGGAAAAUGGUUUUUGAUUCGUCGAGGAGGAUGGGUCUUAAGCAUAGUAGUUGAUGAAUUAAUGAUGGAUACCCAACUUAGUUAUUACUCUUAACGAAUUCAUAUCCUAGGGUUUGGGUGGUCUUAUUGAGACAGACUUGAUGAAUUCAACGACAUGCAAUGUUGAGUUUUUUACUCUUAAUGAGUUCAUAUCCCAAGAGUUUGGGUGGUCCUAUUGAGACAGACUUGAUGAAUUCACCGAAUUUAAAUUUGAGAGGUUGAGCUUAAUAAAUGCUCUUAAUGAUUUCAUAGUACUAAUUCAGGCAGUCUAUAUUGAGAUAGAGUUGAUUAAAUCACCUACGUAAGUGUAAAGAACUAACCACCUUCUAUGAAAUACAUUGGACAGUCUUUCUAGAGCACUUACCAGCAUCCCGAGGUGUACUGGCUAAAACUUCUUGAUCUAUCGCAAAACAUCAAUUGGAUCUAUGAUUAGUUGUGUGUCAUGAGUUAACCCCUAUCUUAAAAAGUUCAAGAUUUGUUCACUUGUUAAGGAGAAGGAUCACUCAUUCACUCUAUACUAGUUCAAAUCCAUAAGAUAAUAGUGCUUAAGCGGCUAAUUUUCUUAUUGUUCUUCUCACGUUUUAUCUUUUCUCAUGUUUACAAAAAGUUUUUCUAAUUCUUUUGCAUUAGCGAGGUAAUGUUGAUAAUGCAAAAGAAAAGGGCAGUCCCAUAUUAGUUAGGAAAAGGCUUCUAAAAGGAUUUAAAUAUAACCUUACAUCCUAUCUUCAUUGAGUAAUUGAGGAUAAGGCCCAACACUUACCUGACCCAUUUCUUAUCUUUUUUGGAUAAUUUUUUUGUUAUUCUUCUUUUAUGAAAAUUUUAUCAUUCAAGUUUCUAAACUAUUAUAAAUUUGACUUGAUCAGCCAAACUGUUGCGCUUUUCUAAGAAACUAGCUUCUGUUAUUGUGUUUUAUAGGAAACUGACUCUUCAGAUUUAUCGUUUUACCCCUUUCAAAUUUAUCGUUUUGCCUUUCAAAAAUUCUUAGAUAUAGUUGGCUCAUUCUCCUCGUUAAACACACAACAAUACAGAAUCCACUCAAUUUCCUGUAAAAGUUCAAGUUUUUUUUGGAAAAAAAUAAUAAUAUGAGUGACCAAAAUGAAAACCUAUUAAAGUUGGGUGAAUAAAAUGAGUGCUCAAUAACAUUUAAUUAAUUGGAUGAUCAAAAUGAAAAAUUAUUAAAGUAGGGUAACAAAAGUGAAAAUGGUUGUUAACGAAAAUGCCCAAUUUACAAUUUUUUAUUUUAUUUUCGGUGCUCAAAAUGAAAACUUCAAGUUGGGUGAUCUACUUUAUAGUUUACCCAAUGUUUAAACCUAAUAAUUUUGGUUCCCAUAUUGUAACAUUUGAUAGUAGGGUGGCAAAGUAAAAACUUAACUUUAGUUACGAUUUGUGUAGUUUUCCUAAAAAAACAAAGUUAUUCUUCUAAUGGGGUGUUUGGCUUACAUAAUGCAAUAUUAACUUUAGUAAUAAUAUUACUAUAAUAUAAGGUUACUUAGCACAUUGCCACAUAUGUUUCAUUACCUUAUUUGGUUCAUUUAGAUAGAAUGUUAGAUUUUUGUUGUUUGCUUGAUUGAAUAUAAAAUUAUUUAAAAGCACAUUUUAAUAAAUUGUCCUCGUAAAACUUGUUUUUUUUUCUAAUAAAUUUUGGCAUGCUUUUAUUACUUUACCAAAACCUAAAAAGACCAACAAAAUAAAUAGUCUCUUUGUCUUCCAAAAGAACAACCAAAACUAGCAAAAUUAAAAAUUCAUCUCCUUCCCUUGCAUGCCAGGCAAGAAAACCACUUCAAAUCCCUUCAUAGAUUUCAACGACAUGCUCUAGUUUGAAGUGACUCAAUGAAAGAACUUGCUCUUAUCCCCUGUUGCAACGCUGUUGUAACCCCCAAAACUCGACCUAGACAUUAUGACCAAACCUCAGAAGUCACAUUAAAACCAUUGGAAAACAUUUACUUGUUGAAGGUAGUUAGGUUUCAAUUUUUUUUGCGGAAACUCAAAAAAAUAAGAAUAUUAAUAUUAAGUAAUUUUUGAAAACAUUUAUUAAAAUUUGAAUGUUUCAUAUUUUAAUUACUAUAUUGAAAUACUGUCUUAUAUCAUUAAACCAUGAAUUUUUAAUAUUUUAAAUAUUUCUGAAAAAUAAUUUUUGGUAAAAACCUUUCACAGUGAACUUUCAAAAAUACUUAGAAAAUCACAAAUUUAUAAUAAUGUAUAAAACCAAGUAAAAUCAUAAAUAAUUUAAAUAAACUCAAUAAUUUAAAAUAUUUGAAAUCUCAUCAAGCAUGCAUGCAUAGCAGUUUAAAUUUGUAAAAUAAAAAAACAACCCAAUAAAAAUCUCCAAUGUCCAAAGUCCAAAAUAACAUCCCAAUAGUUUAUAAACUCAUUAAAAUCCAUCCAAGAGGUUCCACCGAAUGCCGAAUCCAAGUCCGAUGUCCGAGUAUUACUUUAAAGUUAAUGAAACUAAGGGAGUGAGCUUUUAAAGCCCGAUGUAAGCCUUUAAAAAAAUAAAAAUCAAUAAACAUAUAAUUAUCAUACAAAAUAAUCAAUUCUCUUUAUGCUCAUGAUCAUGGAAAUGCUAUUUUUAUGAAACAUUUAUGCAGAUUUAUUUUAAAAACAUACUAACCAUCACCACUACAAUCCAAAAUCGAGUUCCCAGAACUCAUCCAUCCAAACACUCCAAUUUCUAGGCAGGCCACUACUAAUGCAGACAAGCUGCCAGUAAUGUGGUCAAGCCACCAGUAAUGCAGAUAAACUGUUAGUUGUGUGGAGAAGCUGCCAGUAAAGUGGUCAAGCCACCAGUGACUCAAAUAAACUGCAAGUACUUUCUCCUUACAUAUGUCCCACCCUAUGCAUGUGAUAUGGCCACAAUAAUCAUAUUUUCACUUUGUUACAGAAUUUCAUUUUUAGGCAUAUGGAUCAUGCUCAUCCAAUCUUUUAAAUAGUAUCACAUAGGCAUGUUUUGACACGCAAUUUACACAUUAUCGAUAUAUCAAAACAUCAUGUUUUAAUAGUCAUAUACAACAUUUAUGCCAUAAUGUCACAUAACAUAAGAAUAGGAACAACAUGCUUUUUAAAUCAAUAUUAAACAUAACCACACAACAAACUUUCACAAAAUGGUUGGUUCAAAAACACUAACUUGUAUAGUCCGUUUUGACAGAUUUAAUCUCCCAUUUUAGAAUACUUAAAUUAUUUGUAUAAAACAUAAAUCAAGCAAUAAUAUUUUAUUUAAUCAUUUUUAACAAUAUUCGUAUAAAACAUAAAUCAAGCAAUUUAAUCUCUCAUUUUAGAAUACUUAAAGUAUUCGUAUAGCGAGGACCUGACGGAGGAGGAGGGGAGAAGGGUGUUGCGGCACUAGGGAAAACAAGGAGAGAAUGAAAAGGGAAAAAGAAAUAAAGAAAAAGAAGAGAGAGAAAGAGAGUUAUUUUCGAUGGUGGUGGCCACGGUGGUGCUAAGACGGCGAUAGAGAAUCACAAAGGAGAGGAGCGGCAAUAAAGGGGAGAUCCGAUGAUUGUUCAAUUGGAAAAGGAGCGGUGGAGGAGAGGAGGAAAAAUAGUGCAAAGGUGGUUGAUGGCUAAAACAAAAGAAGAAUCAUUGAGAGAAAGGGAGGAGCUAGAGAGAGUGACAGCAAUAGGGGGAAGAGUGUAAUGAAAAAUGAUUCAAUAUGUGAAUUGUGUUUGUCUAGGUACAGUGAAUCAAUUCAUAUGGCAAGGAUGGAGUAAAGGGCAUGUUGAGGGGACAAAGGAGAAAAAAUGGGAGGCAUGUUGGCUUGAAAAGAAAUGAAAGAAUAUUCCUCAUGAAUGGUAAGUGAGUUGGACGGCAAUGGAGGUGUUGACAUGCUAAUGUUGGCAAAAAAAAUUAAUAGAAAGUUUGUGAAUGUAGAGACUUGAACCUAGGACCCUUAGGAAAUUUUUUGAGCUACUAACCUCUAAGUCAUUUAAUUUUUUGUUCACACUUCUACCACAAUUAUUUUAAAAACAUGGUGUGACCUUCGCUAAGGUUGGAAGCAAAAUUGCACCACAUAGAAAAUAAUAAGAGGGAAGGGAUUCAAACACUGAUCAUCAAGGACAACUCCACCACUAUUUAAUCACUAUACUUGAUACUAAUUUAUUAACAAAAGAAUGAAAGGUAAUCUAAAAAAAAUCCAGUGUGACCACUCUCGGUUCAUUAACCCAAUUUCUAGUAACACGAUUUUGAGAUGUGACAUCUGUCUCCAUUUCUAUUGUGACCAUUAUGUGGCUCUAGACAGUCCACUUUCCUUGAUCGCCACUAUCUCCUAAAUCAUCGUCGACCCCUCCUCAACCCAUUGAACGUCCCUUUUCCGAAUGAAGCCCUCCUUCACUAAUAGGUGAGCCACCCUAUUACCACCCCUUUCGAUAUUUUGGAAUUUGAAACUUUCAAAACCCAUUACAAUAUGUUUAGCUUUCCAAAUGUAAUUACUAACCUUUAAUCUGUCUAACCCUUGCAUCCUGAGCUUUGAGAAAAUCACAAGUGGGUCUCCUUCAACCUCGACCUUGUGAAACCCGAUCUCUUGGGAAAAUCAAACGGCCUGAAUGCCUGCCAAAGCUUCAGUUACCUUGGAAGAUGGUAUGUUUCUAUUCCAAUUACAUGCCCCCCAUCAUCAAACCUAAGGUGUCCCUAAUGAUCAUUCUUGAACUUGAUGCUUCUAGGUCACUAUAGAAACCCCCAUCGAAGUUAACCUUAACCCAUGGAUCUGUUGGAGGCUACCAUCUCUCUAUUUCAUUAAUCACACUUCUCGGGUAAGAAUCCUCCAACAUUUCCAAUUCUCUGAUGUACCCCAUUAUGAAUGUGUUAGAGUAUGCCCAAAGGCAAUGUCAUUGUUAUUUUAGUUUCUUUAUCUGUGUAUAUAGAUAAACUAAUCAAUAAUAAAGUCCUAAGAAUAAUAUGAUUAUUCUUAAAAGUUUCUUAGUCAAGUAUUAUUGUGGGCUUGGAUAAUAAUAAUGCAUUGAGACUAAUGUGUAGUUGAUUGAUAAUAAAGUGUUGUCAUUGACAUAGGAUGUCAAAAUCAAUACAUGAGUAUGUGUCAGGGAACAACAUACUAGACUAACCCGCCAUAAGCAUUUUUCUUGGAUUAUUAUGUAAUAGUCACAGACAAUACUCAUAGUGAUAUUAUGUAUAUGAUCCUCCGACUUGAGAUCAUCAUUGUCCCAAUAUCAUGAGUUGUAUAUUUUGAUAUAGUUAAACGUCUACUAUAACAGGUUAAACUAUAAAGACUGAUGUUGGAUAUACCACAAUCCAUGUAGUGGGAUAUGAUUGAUCAAGAUAAGAUUUAUCCUUCCUACAUAAUGGGAGUAAUAUCUUGGGUCACUUGAUGAAGUAAGACUAGAAAUGCAUGGCCAUGCUCAAGUAAGUUGAUAUGAGAUAUCACGCUUAUUUGUUUAACAUAGUCUACUUAGAUUAUCAAGAAAUAUGGGAUUGGACUAUCUACGUGUGACUAUACCAUGACUUGUGUCCAAUCUAGAUAUAAAGGAUAAAAUGAUAUAAUACAUGAAAUGUUUAUCACAAAAAGGUUAUGUCAAAUCACGGCUUCUUAUAACUUGUAUAGGAAUGAUGCAUUGCUAGAUGUCACUCAUUGCUUGUAACAUUAGAAAUGAUCUAGUAUUACUACCAGCAUUACAAGAACCUACAGGGUCACACCCUAUGGUUAAAGCGAACAAAAUCAUAAUUUCAAUAAGAACCUACAGGGUCGCACCCUAUGGUUAAAGCGAACAAUAUCAUAAUUUCAAUAAUUUGAUUACAAAUGUUUUACAAAUCAUGUCAAAGAUCAAUCAAACACAAGCAUAUUGUCCCUUAUUCGAGGCCUUAGAAUGACUUUAGGAACAAUUCAGGACUAAAUCAAAAAUAAUUAGAAAGUUUAUGAAAAAGUAAAAAAAUUUGAACUGUAGGGAUCACACGGCCGUGUUCCAGCCCGUGCCCGUGCCCAUGUAACUCACUAAAUUGUGUCACACGACAAAGCCACACGCCCGUGUGCUAGGCCGUGUAACUCUCGAAAUGCAACCUUUAAAAACCUACAGGGGACACACACCCGUGUCUCAUGGCCGUGUGUCACACACAACUAAGACACACGUCCGUGUCUUAGGACGUGUGGACAAGAAAUAGGUUAAAUUCAAACCAUUUCUUUCACCCAAUUGAAUCACACCCUUACAAGCCAUUUGCACAUAUGACCAAGGUAUUAAAACAUGUUCAACAUGUAUAAAAUGACCAAUUUCCAUUCAACCAAUAAGUCAUAAAGGCACCUCAAACAAAUACAUUAAACAUACCUAAACAUGUGCAAAUUUAACCAUUUAUCAAUUAACUUGUUUCCAUAUCAAAACAUAUCAAAAUGACCUUACCAAUUGAACCACUUCUCACAUGCAUCAUAACAAUUUAAAUGUCAUCAAUCUAGCCAUUUCCAAAUAGUUCCAACAACCAACAUAUAUACAUACCAAAUUUAUGACGAAACGAUCAUAGUUCAACCAAACAUACUUGACUAAAUUUCAUAUCAAAACAUGCCUUAAAUGAACACUUUGCAAACAUGCCAAUACUUACCACUUUGGCCAUAAACCAUGCAUCAAUUUGAUCUUGUAAACACCAACCAUUAAGCAUCAAAGUACCAAAAGCACACCAAACAUCACAUCAAAAUUACAUAGGUUUCACAAAUUCAAAGCAACAUUACAUGCCAAUAUCACUAACUAAACAUUCAACAUAAGUCUACCUAUGCGUGCCAUUAUAACCACGACCAAAGCAUCAAAAUCUACCGAUAAAAUCGAUGGAUAGUGUGAUAGAUUUUCGACUAGCUUCCAGCUUGAUCGAGCUUUCGGUAAUCUAUAAAGUAAGAAAAAGAUAAUCAUAUAAGCAAUGAAUGCUUAGUAAGCUUCUAUAAACUUUAAACAUAACAUGCCAUUUUAAUAAUGAACUUUAUGGGGUAAUUAUAAACCUAAACCAAUUCCAGAAAGUUUAUCAAACUUUAUAACAUCAACUCAUAAAUGAGUAAAUUCACCAAUAUCACAUAUAUCUUUCAUUCCUAUCAUAAUAGGAUUUGUAAAACAUAUUACUCAAUCAUUAAAAUUUUCAUAAUAUUAAGAACCACUCCAUUUACUUUCUUACCAUUCCAUUUACUUACUUUCCAUUUCAUUUACUUAACAUAAACUUAAUUAACAAUAUCAAUUCACUAAUUAGUAUAUAUAUUUUUUCACGAACUAAAUAAAUUCAUCCAUAGCAUACGUAAGUUUCUCACAUAUAAUUACAUCAUUCAACUCAUCAAUCCCUUUUUCAUCAUUUCACAUAUCAACUCUGAACUUACCUUUUCUUACCUGUUUCAUUUACAUAAUACAAGAUAUAAGCAUAAACAACACCUACACGAUAAACCAUUUUAUUAGAAAAUACAUACUUUUAUUCUUACCACCCUUUCAUGAACGUAAGCAUAUUUCUAUUUAGAAACUUACCAUUUCAUUGCAUAACUUUAAAAGUAAACAUAAUACAAUCCAACCAAUAGCUUGGCACAAGCCUAAGCAUCAUCAACAACACAUGUUAGUGCAUCAAUUCAUAAUUCACUUGAAUUAACAUGAGAUAAGUAAUUAAACAUGAAUAACCUCACUUGAAAUCAUCAAUUUCAUGAAUAUAGACAUACCUUCAUUUAACAUUUUCUUUUUAUUCCUUUUUCAUAGUUUUCAUGAUAUAAAUCAUUUGAAUACUCAAAUGAACAGCAAAUUCAUCAAAUUCAUUAAACAAAUUACCUUACCAGAAUUUCAAUUCGAAGAACGACUUAAGGGUAAAAGUAUAUCGUCAGAUCAACCGAACACACCAGACAAAAGCUCAUAAGAGCUAAUCCAACCGAAACACACCAGACAGAAGCUCAUAAGAGCUAAUCCAACUGAAACACGCCAUACAGAAGCUCAUAAUAGCUAAUCCAACUGAAACACACCAAACAGAAGCCCAUAAGAGCUAAUUUAACCGAAACAAGCCAAACAGUAGCUCAUAAGAGCUAAUCCAACCGAAACACACCAGACAGAAUCUCAUAGAGCUAAUCCAAUCGAAACAUGCCAGACAGAAGCUCAUAAAAGCUAAUCCAAUCAAAACACGCCAGUUAGAGAGUAUAACACGAGAGUUCGCAAAAAAUACUGAACCUCACUUUACUCGAGUAAUAUCCAGAUAUCUACCUCCAAUACCAUCUCCACUCCAAGCCCUCGUAACACACACCAAAUCACGAUUGUACUCUAUCCCGCGUUCAAUCCAAACGAAGCAUCAAAUUCAAUAAUAUAUCUCAAUUUAACAUUCAUUAUCAAUAAUUAAAAAUAAAUAUAUAAGUUGCUCCAUGAUAAUCUACUCAAAAAUUCAUAUUGAUAUUAAAUUCUAAACCGUAUGAACUUACUUGGCUAAAUUGCAUAAAUGUCAAAGUAUAAGGGCAAUUCGGUAAUUUCUAUUCUUCUCGAAUUUUCGCUCGAUCUUGAUCUAAAUUAAUAAUUUCAUUCAAUUUAUUAAUUCAGAUAAUAAAACAAUUUAUUUUAUGAAAUUUAGUCAUUUUUUUACAUUUUUACCAAAUUGCCUCUAACAUUUUACAUUUAUUCAAUUUAGUCCAUGAGCCUAAAACAUGAAAAUUAACCAUUUUUAUUGCAAAUUAAUAUCAUCUGAAUAUUCAUGGCACCCAAAACAGCCCACAUUUGUAAUAAUUUCACAUCAAAUACUUGUAUUUUUACUAUUUCCACAAUUUAGUCCCUAAUUAAUAAAUUCAUCAAAAAUCACUUAAAAUAUUUUUAAAUAAAAAUAAUAUUUUAAACUCAUCAUUUAACAUAAAAAAAUUACUAGAUUCAUCAAUGGCAACAUUCAAAAUCUUUAACAGUUUCAAAAUCAAAGGUACAGGUUAGUUGAACCUAGUUGCAACGAUCUCAAAAAUAUUAAAAUUAUUUGAAACUGGGCUAAAACGAACUUACAUGCAUCAUCCAAAGCAAGGCCGAAGCUUGAGUAUUCUUUCAUGGAGGUUCGAUGAUGAACCAAGCAAAAUGAGGAAGAAAACAUUAGGUUUUCUUUAUAUUUUAAACAUUUUUAUUUAUUUUAUUAACAAAAUAAUAUAUAUAACCUUAAAAUUAAAAGAAAUUAAAACAUCCACCGUCCCACUAUUUUAAGGAUGGUUUAAUUAUCCAUUAAGGACAUCCAAUUAUAAUUCUUCAAUGAAUUAACAUCUUUAAGCUAAUAGCGAUUGACUUUUUUAACUUUUACGAUUUAGUCCUUUUUGCUUAAUUAACUAUCGAAACAUUAAAAUUUCUUAACGAAACUUUAAUACCACCUUAAUGACACUCCGUAACUUUUUAUAAAAAUAUUUAUGGCUCAAUUUAUAGAAAUGAGGUCUCAAUACCUCAUUUUCUAAAACAACUUGACUUUAAGGUCUUACCACUUGAACUUAAAUUAAUCAUUCAAAUAGCAUAAAUGAUCAUAUCAAAAACCUUUUAAAAACCAUAAUUGAC
rnacentral:lncRNA from 1 species